UACGGGGGGGGCAAGCGUUGUUCGGAAUUACUGGGCGUAAAGGGCUCGUAGGCGGCCAACUAAGUCCGACGUGAAAUCCCCAGGCUUAACCUGGGAACUGCGUCGGAUACUGGAUGGCUUGAAUUCGGGAGAGGGAUGCAGAAUUCCAGGUGUAGCGGUGAAAUGCGUAGAUAUCUGGAGGAAUACCGGUGGCGAAGGCGGCAUCCUGGACCGACAUUGACGCUGAGGAGCAAAAGCUAGGGGAGCAAACGGG
rnacentral:rRNA from 1 species